rnacentral:rRNA from 1 species
UACGUAGGCAGCAAGCGUUUGUUCGGAGUUACUGGGCGUAAAGAGCUCGUAGGCGGUCUGUCGCGUCGGAUGUGAAAGCCCGGGGCUUAACCCCGGGUCUGCAUUCGAUACGGGCAGACUAGAGUGUGGUAGGGGAGAUCGGAAUUCCUGGUGUAGCGGUGAAAUGCGCAGAUAUCAGGAGGAGCACCGGUGGCGAAGGCGGAUCUCUGGGCAGUAACUGACGCUGGAGGAGCGAAAGCGUGGGGAGCGAACAGG